UGAGACACAUGAGUAGCUUUGUGACAUUUAUGAAAAACUUUUCAAUAUGUCAACAUAUUUAUAUUCGAGUUAUAAAAGUUCAGUUCCAUUCUCUCUGAAAAUCGCCACAUUUCUUUUCUGCCUUCCAAAGAAUGCAUUAUGGCUGCUAAACUGCUCUCCUCCUGCAAAAUCCAUAGAAACAGAGCAAUUCCAGAUGCUGUUUUGCAAAAUAGAAAAGCUGUUUUGGUCUGCAGAAAGAUGGAAGUCUCAUUGCUUGAUAUACAAAUGAGCCAAAUAGAACAUGGCCAAAUUAGCAGCAGGCUGAAACAUUCAAUAUGGCGUUAUGGGUGGAUUCUGCAGCGCAAUUAGAAACAUGUCUGUGCUUCCAAGAACACAAUUAGGUGCCACAUAAUUACAUCUGUCUAAACACUUCAUACUCAAUUAGGUGCCACACUACUCUGGCUGUCUAAACAGACUUCAUAUACAAAACAACAGGUGGUUUGUCUCUCUGCUGGACUUACUCAGUGAAAGCAAAAGGCUUUCUAGUUACAUGACCUCAGCUAAGGAGCCAUCUUAGAAGGCACAAAGGGGAUGGAAACCUGGCUUCCACUGUAUGGAAGAAAAAGUGGCUUAACACAGUUCUCUGUGGAACUUUUCUCUGUGACCUUUUGGCUACAAUGAGACCAUCGGAACAGCUCUCUUUCAAGGUUUUCUGAAGACAGGGAACUAUUUUGAACAAAUAAAGCAUCCAAGAGCACAUAAACCAACAGCUUCAAAUUCAUACAUGGCCAUUAUGCUACAAAUAUGCAUUUUUCUCACUCCGGGGACCAAACAUCUCUCAAUUACAAGCUUCGCUAUUUAAGGGAAGUAUCCUAUUAUGAUUAACUGUACUGUGGUGCUCUAAAAACUAGCUCCAAAAUAGCAGGUCCAAGAAACAGA